rnacentral:tRNA from 1 species
GCGGAACUGGCGGAAUUGGUAGACGCGCAUGUUUCAGGUACAUGUGCCGCAAGGCUUGGGAGUUCGAGUCUCCCGUUCCGCA